rnacentral:pre_miRNA from 7 species
UUCUUUAUUCCUUCCUUGACCUGAAAGACCCCCUCAGGGAGACCCUCACUCAAGCCUGGGGACAGCCGUGGACCCAAGAAGACACCGAGACCA